rnacentral:rRNA from 1 species
GACGAACGCUGGCGGCGUGCUUAACACAUGCAAGUCGAACGUAGUGGCGAACGGGUGAGUAACACGUGAGCAACCUACCUUACACAGGGGGAUAGCCGUUGGAAACGACGAUUAAUACCGCAUGGUGUAAGAAGGGCUCGCGUCUGAUUAGCUAGUUGGAAGGGUAAAGGCCUACCAAGGCGACGAUCAGUAGCCGGUCUGAGAGGAUGAACGGCCACAUUGGAACUGAGACACGGUCCAAACUCCUACGGGAGGCAGCAGUGGGGAAUAUUGCACAAUGGGGGAAACCCUGAUGCAGCGACGCCGCGUGAUUUAGAAGGCCUUCGGGUUGUAAAAAUCUUUUUUAUGGGAUGCAGUACCAUAAGAAUAAGGUCCGGCUAAAUACGUGCCAGCAGCCGCGGUAAUUC